rnacentral:rRNA from 1 species
UUACACAUGCAAGUCGAACGGCAGCGCGGGGCAACCUGGCGGCGAGUGGCGAACGGGUGAGUAAUAUAUCGGAACGUACCCUGGAGUGGGGGAUAACGUAGCGAAAGUCACGCUAAUACCGCAUACGAUCUAAGGAUGAAAGUGGGGGCUUCGCAAGAACCUCAUGCUCCUGGAGCGGCCGAUAUCUGAUUAGCUAGUUGGUGGGGUAAAGGCCUACCAAGGCAUCGAUCAGUAGCUGGUCUGAGAGGACGACCAGCCACACUGGAACUGAGACACGGUCCAGACUCCUACGGGAGGCAGCAGUGGGGAAUUUUGGACAAUGGGCGAAAGCCUGAUCCAGCAAUGCCGCGUGAGUGAAGAAGGCCUUCGGGUUGUAAAGCUCUUUUGUCAGGGAAGAAACGGUGGAGGCUAAUAUCCUUUGCUAAUGACGGUACCUGAAGAAUAAGCACCGGCUAACUACGUGCCAGCAGCCGCGGUAAUACGUAGGGUGCAAGCGUUAAUCGGAAUUACUGGGCGUAAAGCGUGCGCAGGCGGUUUUGUAAGUCUGUCGUGAAAUCCCCGGGCUCAACCUGGGAAUUGCGAUGGAGACUGCAAGGCUAGAAUCUGGCAGAGGGGGGUAGAAUUCCACGUGUAGCAGUGAAAUGCGUAGAGAUGUGGAGGAACACCGAUGGCGAAGGCAGCCCCCUGGGUCAAGAUUGACGCUCAUGCACGAAAGCGUUGGGGAGCAAACAGGAUUAGAUACCCUGGUAGUCCACGCCCUAAACGAUGUCUACUAGUUGUCGGGUUUUAAUUAACUUGGUAACGCAGCUAACGCGUGAAGUAGACCGCCUGGGGAGUACGGUCGCAGAUUAAACUCAAGAAUUGACGGGACCCGCACAGUGGUGAUGAUGUGAUUAUUCGAUGCACGCGAAACCUUACUAC